CCAGACUCCUACGGGAGGCAGCAGUGAGGAAUAUUGGUCAAUGGCCGAGAGGCUGAACCAGCCAAGUCGCGUGAGGGAUGACGGCCCUACGGGUUGUAAACCUCUUUUGCCGGGGAGCAAGCGUGCGUUCGUGAACGCACGUCGAGAGUACCCGGAGAAAAAGCAUCGGCUAACUCCGUGCCAGCAGCCGCGGUAAUACGGAGGAUGCGAGCGUUAUCCGGAUUUAUUGGGUUUAAAGGGUGCGUAGGCGGGAUGCCAAGUCAGCGGUAAAAAUGCGGUGCUCAACGCCGUCGAGCCGUUGAAACUGGCGUUCUUGAGUGGGCGAGAAGUAUGCGGAAUGCGUGGUGUAGCGGUGAAAUGCAUAGAUAUCACGCAGAACUCCGAUUGCGAAGGCAGCAUACCGGCGCCCUACUGACGCUGAGGCACGAAAGCGUGGGUAUCGAACAGGAUUAGAUACCCCAGUA
rnacentral:rRNA from 1 species